rnacentral:rRNA from 1 species
GGACGAACGCUGGCGGCGUGCCUAAUCCAUGCAAGUCGAACGCAUUUUCUUUCACCGUAGCUUGCUACACCGAAAGAAAAUGAGUGGCGAACGGGUGAGUAACACGUGGGUAACCUGCCCAUCAGCGGGGGAUAACACUUGGAAACAGGUGCUAAUACCGCAUAAUUCCAUUUACCGCAUGGUAGAUGGAUGAAAGGCGCUUUUGCGUCACUGAUGGAUGGACCCGCGGUGCAUUAGCUAGUUGGUGGGGUAACGGCCUACCAAGGCUGCGAUGCAUAGCCGACCUGGGAGGGUGAUCGGCCACACUGGGACUGAGACACGGCCCAGACUCCUACGGGAGGCAGCAGUAGGGAAUCUUCGGCAAUGGACACAAGUCUGACCGAGCAACGCCGCGUGAGUGAAGAAGGUUUUCGGAUCGUAAAACUCUGUUGUUAGAGAAGAACAAGGAUGAGAGUGGAAAGUUCAUCCCUUGACGGUAUCUAACCAGAAAGCCACGGCUAACUACGUG